CACAAAUAUUGUACCAAUUUACACUCCCAUUAGCACUGUGGGAGUGGUCAUUGGAAGUGUGACAUUGAGGUAGGAUUCUGUCUCUGUUUUUGCUUAAAAAGCCUUCAAAGAAGAUGGAAGAAUGGCUCUCUCCACUUUGUUACGAAUUUUACUUUCUCCACUCCCACCACAUUGUUAUCCGUUUUGCAUUUAAUACUCAGUGAUCUUGGACUUAUUUCUCCACAGCAGACCUAUCCUUUGCCUCUGCUGUAGGCACUUCAUAUCAUUUCUGUUAGCCUUUACAAUUAGUUUGGAUUGGUCUCUUUAGUGAGGACACUCCUCCACUGUUCAUCCUCCUAACUGCUGAUUUUGAGAAUUACAAAGUGGGUCAGUGGCAAAUAGAGUACAAAGUGAAACAAUGGAAGAAGUCAACCAGGUUGUGUUUAGAGAACAUGAAAAAAGUUUCAAAUACUUUUCAAAGCCGUGGACAACUUCAUAAAGUGGAUUUGUGCAGCAACCAGAACAGCCCUAUCUAUGUUCUCAAUGCUGAAAUCAUCCUGGGAAAUCUACCUGAAGAAGCUGGCAGGACACCUCAUCUGCAUUCUUAG
rnacentral:lncRNA from 1 species